CAAACGGAGAGUUUGAUCCUGGCUCAGGAUGAACGUUGGCGGCGUGCCUAACACAUGCAAGUCGAACGGAGAUAGCAAUAUCUAAGUGGCGCACGGGUGAGUAACACGUAGCUUAUCUGCCUCAAAGAGAGGGAUAACGUCUCGAAAGAGACGCUAAUACCUCAUAAGCUCCCGACCUAUAGAGGGUUGAGAGAAAAGGAGCAAUCCGCUUUGAGAUGAGGCUGCGGCCCAUCAGCUAGUUGGGGUGGUAAAAGCACACCAAGGCGAC
rnacentral:rRNA from 1 species